GGAAUCUUCCACAAUGGACGAAAGUCUGAUGGAGCAACGUCGCGUGAGCGAAGAAAGUUUUCGCAGCGUAAAACUCUGUUGUUGUAGAAGAACGUAUCUGAUAUUAACUGAUCAGUUAGUGUCGGUAUCAAAUCAGAAAGCCACGGCUAACUACGAGCCAGAAGCCGCGGUAAUACGUAGGUGGCAAGCGUUGUCCGGAUUGAGUGGGCGUAAAGCGAGCGCAGGCGGUUUCUUAAGUCUGAUGUGAAAGCCUUCGGCUCAAACGAAGAAGUGCAUAGGAAACUGGGAAACUUGAGUGCAGAAGAGGACAGUGGAACUCCAUGUGUAGCGGUGAAAUGCGUAGAUAUAUGGAAGAACACCAGUGGCGAAGGCGGCUGUCUGGUCUGUAACUGACGCUGAGGCUCGAAAGCAUGGGUAGCAAACA
rnacentral:rRNA from 1 species